rnacentral:rRNA from 1 species
GAUCCUGGCUCAGGAUGAACGCUGGCGGCGUGCUUAACACAUGCAAGUCGAACGAAGCAAUCUAACGGAAGUUUUCGGAUGGAAGCUGGAUUGACUGAGUGGCGGACGGGUGAGUAACGCGUGGGUAACCUGCCUCACACUGGGGGACAACAGUUAGAAAUGGCUGCUAAUACCGCAUAAGCGCACAGGACCGCAUGGUCCGGUGUGAAAAACUCCGGUGGUGUGAGAUGGACCCGCGUUUG